GGUUUGAUCAUGGCUCAGAUUGGAACGUUGGCGGGAUGCUUUACACAUGCAAGUCGAACGGCAGCACGGACUUCGGUCUGGUGGCGAGUGGCGAACGGGUGAGUACUAUUGAACGUGCCUAGUAAAGAUAACUACGCGAAAGGUAGCUACUACCGCAUAAUAUCUUCGCUAAAGCGGGGACCUUCGGGCCUCGCACUAGGGAGCGUACGAUAUCGGAUUAGCUAGUUGGUGGGUAACGCUCACCAAGGCGACGACGAUCCGUAGCUGGUUUGAGAGGACGACCAGCCACACUGGGACUGGAGAUAUGGCCCAGACUCCUACGGGAGGCAGCAGUGGGGAAUUUUGGACAAUGGGGGAAACCCUGAUCCAGCCAUCCUGCGUGCGAUGAAGGCCUUCGGGUUGUAAAGCAAUUUUAGCAGGGAAGAACGGCACGGAGAAUACCCCGCAACUGACGGUACUUUGGUGAAUAAGCAAUUCGGCGAACUACGUGCCAGCAGCCAUGGUACAUGUAGGGUGCAAGCGUUAAUCGGAAUUACUGGGCGUAAAGCGUGCGCAGGGCGGUUCGGAAAGAAGAUGUGAAAUCCCAGAGCUUAACUUUGAACUACUUUAACUACCGAGCUAGAGUGUGUCAGAGGAGGAACUCCGCGUGUAGCAGUGAAAUGCGUAGAUAUGCGGAGGAACACCGAUGGCGAAGGCAGCCUCCUGGAUAACACUGACGCUCAUGCACGAGCGGGGAGCAAACAGGAUUAGAUAAUUCUGGUAGUCCACGCCCUAAAACGAUGUCAACUAGCUGUUGGGGUCGGGCUCGGUAGCGCAAAGCACUGCAGAAGUUGACCGCCUGGGGAGUACGGUCGCAAGAUUAAAACUCAAAGUAAUUGACGGGGACCUCCGCACAAGCGGUGGAUGAUGUGGAUUAAUUCGAUGCAACGCGAAAACUUUACCUACCCCUUUGAUGAUGUUCGGAAUCCCGAAGAGAUUUGGGAGUACGCAAGAGAACCGGAACACAGGUGCUGCAUGGCUGUCGUCAGCUCGUGUCGUGAGAUGUUGGGUUAAGUCCCGCAACGAGCGCAACCCUGGUCAUUAGUUGCUACGAAAGGGCACCUAAUGAGACUGCCGGUGACAAACCGAGGAAGGUGGGGAUGACGUCAAGUCCUCAUGGCCCUUAUGGGUAGGCUCAGCACGCCAUACAAUGGGUCGGGACAGAGGGUCGCCAACCCGCGAGGGGGAGCCAAUCCCAGAAACCCGAUCGUAGUCCGGAUCGCAGUCUGCAACUCGACCGCGUGAAGUCGGACCGCUGGUGCACUAUGGAUCAGCAUGUCGCGGUGAAUAUGCCCCGGGUCUUGCACACACCGCCCGUCACACCAUGCUGGAGUGGGUUUUACCAGAAGUAGUUAGCCUAACCGUAAGGAGGGCGAUUACCACGGUAGGAUUCAUGACUGGGGUGAAGUCAACAAGGUA
rnacentral:rRNA from 1 species